rnacentral:tRNA from 1 species
GGGGAUAUAGCUCAGAUGGUAGAGUGCUUGCCUCACAUGCACAAGGUCCUGGGUUCAAUCCCUAGCACCACCA